rnacentral:rRNA from 1 species
GUUUUUUUAGAAAUAAAUUUAAUUUACAAAUUUUUAAUUUUUUAUUUAUUUAUUUAAUUAAAAAAAUUAUUAAUUUGAAUAUUUUAAGGGAUAAGCUUUAAAAUAAAUUAUUAAAAAUUAGUAAUUAAAAUAUAAAAUGUAUGAAUAGAAUUUUCAAUCAUUUAUAAAUUUGUUAUAAAUUAUNUUAUAAUUUAUAUUAUUUACUAUUAUUUUAAGUUUUUAUAAAAAUUUUUUCAUAAAUUUUUUUUGAAAAUUAAUAAUGAUAAAAUUAGUAUAUUAAUGUUGUAUAUAUAAUUUUAUAUGAUAAGUUUUUAUAAANNACUCGGAAAAUUUAUAUACUCGCCUGUUUAACAAAAACAUGUCUUUUUGAGUUAUUUUUAAAGUCUGACCUGCCCACUGAAUAAUUUUGAAUGGCCGCAGUAUUUUAACUGUGCAAGGUAGCAUAAUCAUUAGUCUUUUAAUUGAAGGCUGGUAUGAAUGGUUGGACGAAGUAUAAACUGUUUCAUAUAAAUUUAUUAUAGAAUUUUAUAUUUUAGUUAAAAAGCUAAAAUAUGAUUAAAAGACGAGAAGACCCUAUAAAUCUUUAUAUUUAUUAUUAUUUUAAUUUUUUGGAUAUAUUUUAUUUUAAUAAUAUUAAGUAUUUUGUUGGGGUGAUGUUAAAAUUUAAUAAACUUUUAAUUAUUGAAAUCAUUAAUUUAUGAUUUAUUGAUCCGUUAAUAACGAUUAUAAGAUUAAGUUACUUUAGGGAUAACAGCGUAAUUUUUUUGGAGAGUUCUUAUCGAUAAAAAAGUUUGCGACCUCGAUGUUGGAUUAAGAUAUAUUUUUAGGUGUAGCUGCUUAAAUAUU